GGCUCUGUGGUGCAAUGGAGAGCACGUUGGACUUCGAAUUCAAAGGUUGUGGGUUCGAGUCCCACCAGAGUCA